UGGUGAAAAAAAUCCUCCAAUCCUGGUUCUCUACUUGUUUGGGCGUGUGUGGCGGCGACAAUGGUGUGCGGGAGGAGGAGGGUGGCGUAGCUGCACCCGCCACCCCAGGUGAAGUUGGUGGCGGUCGGCCCAGCUCUGGAUGUGAGGAGCGGAAGCCGCGAUGCGUCGCAGGUCAAGGGCGUGGUGGUGGGCUGGCGGCGACAACGAUCUCUCCACCUUUCCGGCGUCGCGCCUCCUCCAGUCCUCCUCCUCCACGACCUCGAGCCACCGCGUCAUCGUGCCUCUCCCCCUCGCGCCUGCUAUUCUACGACCCAGAGCCGCCGCGUCGUCGUGCCUCUCCUCCUCGACCUACAACACCGGCGAUGGAUGAGGUAUAGAAAAGUGGGAGGAUGAGGUGUUGCAGGAGCGCACAUAGAGGAGGAGGGCGUCGGCGACGCCUCGCCCUCUCCUCUUCCCCGUCCUCUCGUCUUCCUCCGUCCUUGACGUCAACAUUCGGCCUCGCAGCUCGCAUCCGAUCGCACCAAGGUCGAUCCACUUCUCGUCUCCAUUCUCCGCCUCGAUCUAGAAAUUGGGGCGUGCCUUGGCGGAAGGAGGAGGGCAGCCUACGGGUGGGAUCUGGGACAUAGCCGGCCAAACCGUGGACAGGGCCGGCCCAGCGCAGGCGACGGCGACCUUGAGUGGAUGGAAGCCUCCCUCUCCCUCGUUCAUAUCCUCGGCGCUUACUCCCAUUAGGACGAGCUAGGAGGGGCAAGAGAGGAUGAGGUGAAGUUGGGGGAGGAGCUCGGAUGUGGUGGAUGAGGAUAACUGAAGCUGGUGUUUGCGUUGGCAUGUGGUCAGGACAAUGGCGCCAUGAAUUCUUGCCAGCAGAUUCCUGAUCUGCUCGUCUCCCUUGUCAUUGAACGCAAUUACGGGCAUUUCACAGCAACGACGGCAGCAAGAUGAGGGCCCAUGCCACUUCCUCAGCCAUUGCCGAGCUUCAAGGGAGUAGAGUGCCUCUUACAAUGAUUUUCUCUAAUUCAUAUUCAUGUUGGAGUUCUCAGGCUAGGAGGAAAAAAGUUUCCUAUUGCUGAAUUGAAGCAUAUAAUUUGUAUGCUAGAUUUAAAGUAAAUCCUAUAUUAGAUGUUUACUGAUAUUUGCAUCCCUCCUUUUCCAAAUAUUCUGUGAUGCUGUUCUUGUUGCUUCCAUUUAAGUGGUGCUUGAUUCUAGGCGGGUGUGUAUGCUUACAUCUCGUUUAUUUCGAAAUGACUAGGCAGCCUCAGGUGGGAGAAGGAACAACAUCACGUCGAGAAGGAGGGGCGUCACACAAUGUGUUGUGGCCCAAGGAUAAAUGUAACCAAAUUGUUUCUGGUAGCACAUGUUCAAACUCAUGAUAAAAGCGACCAAAUUGUCAAAGAUGGUGAUGUUCGCUUUGUUUUUAGGAGCACAUAACAGGGUUUGUAUGUUGCCUGAUUAAAUUCAAGCGGUUUCUUCUGGUUUCCGUCUGUGAAUUAAUUACUUAUGCGGCAUUCCUAAUCUGGCUGCCUGGGAAUUAAUUAUCAACAAAGAAUCGAGGGAUCCCUUUUUUGUUGGAAAUUUUAUGAUGGAUAGUUAUUUAUCUACAAAUUUGAUAGUUUGAGAGGCCUCACUUCUACCCAUUAUCCUUUCCCUUUGUGUUGUUGCUCAGAGUUUAAAUAUUCUGCUUAUGAUGCAGUGAGAUAAUAUGCCAGUUUAAAUAUUCUGCUUAUGAUGCAGUGAGAUAAUAUGCCAGCUAAAGCAACGGCAACUCCAGGAAAAUCGUGUGCUUGCUGCUGCUAAUAAAAUGCAGAUCCAAUUAGUGUCUGUCAGUUGUGCGGAAAUACAAGUAUCUCCAGUGGAAUCCAUACUCGAUGGUAGGCUUGAUGGAUAUUGCAAGUGUGCUUGGACUGGUUUCUUGCGGGAGGCACCCUCUAAUCGAUCCUUGCACAAAUGCAGUAAAUUGGUAGCUGCUUGGACCAUCUGCUUCUUGCAGUACCAGGUUAAAACGAAUUUAUGGUUCUUGUGUAACCAUCUCACUGAAAUGAGGGAACGUGAGAGGUGUUUGUGGUUGGACUUGCUUUCAGAAAUUUCGGGUUUCCUUGUUGUCCAUGGUUAGGCUGGACAUGUAUUUCCAGGCUUUAGUGUUCUGUUGAAUAGGGAUGUACUCUCCUUGUGCAGCAGGGGAACAUGGAGAAGAGGAGCAGAGCGUUGUGCAGCAGGGGAUGAGCUGCGCGUGGCAUCGUCUCACCUCUAUGUAGAGGACGACCACGCAGGACAAUGGGCUAUAAUCGGCCCAA